rnacentral:rRNA from 1 species
GACGAACGCUGGCGGCGUGCUUAACACAUGCAAGUCGAACGGAAAGGCCCUGCUUUUGUGGGGUGCUCGAGUGGCGAACGGGUGAGUAACACGUGAGUAACCUGCCCUUGACUUUGGGAUAACUUCAGGAAACUGGGGCUAAUACCGGAUAGGAGCUCCUGCUGCAUGGUGGGGGUUGGAAAGUUUCGGCGGUUGGGGAUGGACUCGCGGCUUAUCAGCUUGUUGGUGGGGUAGUGGCUUACCAAGGCUUUGACGGGUAGCCGGCCUGAGAGGGUGACCGGCCACAUUGGGACUGAGAUACGGCCCAGACUCCUACGGGAGGCAGCAGUGGGGAAUAUUGCACAAUGGGCUGAAGCCUGAUGCAGCAACGCCGCGUGCGGGAUGACGGCCUUCGGGUUGUAAACCGCUUUCGCCUGUGACGAAGCGUGAGUGACGGUAAUGGGUAAAGAAGCACCGGCUAACUACGUG